rnacentral:misc_RNA from 1 species
AAGUCGUAACAAGGUUUCCGUAGGUGAACCUGCGGAAGGAUCAUUAAAAAUUGCCCGGAGGUGCCUCGCGCCCUCCACCGCAAACCAAUGUGAACGCACCCGUUGCUUCGGCGGCAGGGGGGAUCUCCUCCCGUCAGCCCGUCCGGAGCCCCGAGCAAACCAUUUCUGUAAACUUCGGUCAGACACGAUAAAGUAAAUCGUUAAA